CUCCAAAAAGAAAAGUGUAUUCACCGUGAUGAAUGUGAAGUAGCUGUUUAAAUAGCAGAGGGACUUGAACUCCUUCCUGUGGACGAUUCGGCGUGAUCCUCCGGCCUACCUGUUUGGCACUAUUCACGUUCCCUACACCCGCGUCUGGGACUUCAUCCCGGACAACUCCAAGGCAGCCUUCCAGGCUAGCGCCCAUGUCUACUUUGAGCUGGACCUGACAGACCCCUACACCAU
rnacentral:lncRNA from 1 species